rnacentral:rRNA from 1 species
UACAGAGGCCUCGAGCGUUAGGCGGAAUCACUGGGCUUAAAGCGUGUGUAGGCGGAUGGGUAAGUACCUUGUGAAAUCCCACGGCUCAACCGUGGAACUGCUCGGUAUACUGCUCGUCUUGAGCCAACUAGGGGCGACCGGAACAAACGGUGGAGCGGUGAAAUGCGUAGAUAUCGUUUGGAACGCCGAUGGUGAAAACAGGUCGCUGGGGUUGUGCUGACGCUGAGACACGAAAGCCAGGGGAGCGAACGGG